rnacentral:rRNA from 1 species
GACGUAGGGCGCGAGCGUUGUCCGGAUUUAUUGGGCGUAAAGAGCUCGUAGGCGGCUCGUUGCGUCGGCUGUGAAAACCCGCGGCUCAACCGUGGGCUUGCAGCUGAUACGGGCGGGCUGGAGUUCGGUAGGGGAGACUGGAAUUCCUGGUGUAGCGGUGAAAUGCGCAGAUAUCAGGAAGAACACCAAUGGCGAAGGCAGCUCUCUGGGACGGUACUGACGCUGAGACGCGAAAGCGUGGGGAGCGAACAGG